GAUGAACGCUGGCGGCGUGCCUAAUACAUGCAAGUCGAGCGAACGGACGAGAAGCUUGCUUCUCUGCUGUUAGCGGCGGACGGGGGAGUAACACGUGGAUAACCUACCUAUAAGACUGGGAUAACUUCGGGAAACCGGAGCUAAUACCGGAUAAUACUUUGAACCGCAUGGUUCAAAAGUGAAAGACGGUCUUGCUGUCACUUAUAGAUGGAUCCGCGCUGCAUUAGCUAGUUGGUAAGGUAACGGCUUACCAAGGCAACGAUGCAUAGCCGACCUGAGAGGGUGAUCGGCCACACUGGAACUGAGACACGGUCCAGACUCCUACGGGAGGCAGCAGUAGGGAAUCUUCCGCAAAGGGCGAAAGCCUGACGGAGCAACGCCGCGUGAGUGAUGAAGGUCUUCGGAUCGUAAAGCUCUGUUAUUAGGAAAGAACAUAUGUGUAAGUAACUGUGCACGUCUUGACGGUACCUAAUGAGAAAGCCACGGCUAACUUCGUG
rnacentral:rRNA from 1 species